rnacentral:rRNA from 1 species
AACGAACGCUGGCGGCAUGCCUAACACAUGCAAGUCGAACGAGACCUUCGGGUCUAGUGGCGCACGGGUGCGUAACGCGUGGGAACCUGCCCUUAGGUUCGGAAUAACUCCCCGAAAGGGGUGCUAAUACCGGAUAAUGUCUUCGGACCAAAGAUUUAUCGCCUUUGGAUGGGCCCGCGUUGGAUUAGCUAGUUGGUAGGGUAAAAGCCUACCAAGGCGACGAUCCAUAGCUGGUCUAAGAGGAUGAUCAGCCACACUGGGACUGAGACACGGCCCAGACUCCUACGGGAGGCAGCAGUGGGGAAUAUUGGACAAUGGGCGAAAGCCUGAUCCAGCAAUGCCGCGUGAGUGAUGAAGGCCUUAGGGUUGUAAAGCUCUUUUACCCGGGAUGAUAAUGACAGUACCGGGAGAAUAAGCUCCGGCUAACUCCGUG